rnacentral:rRNA from 1 species
CUACGGGCGGCUGCAGUGGGGAAUAUUGCACAAUGGGGGAAACCCUGAUGCAGCAACGCCGCGUGGAGGAUGACGCAUUUCGGUGUGUAAACUCCUUUUAUAUAGGAAGAUAAUGACGGUACUAUAUGAAUAAGCACCGGCUAACUCCGUGCCAGCAGCCGCGGUAAUACGGAGGGUGCAAGCGUUACUCGGAAUCACUGGGCGUAAAGCGCGCGCAGGCGGCCUUUUAAGUUGGAUGUGAAAGCCUAUGGCUUAACUAUUGAACUGCAUCCAAAACUAUCAGGCUAGAGUCUGGGAGGGGAAGAUGGAAUUAGUUGUGUAGGGGUAAAAUCCGUAGAGAUAACUAGGAAUACCAAAAGCGAAGGCGAUCUUCUGGAACAGUACUGACGCUGAGGCGCGAAAGCGUGGGUAGCGAACGGGAUUAGAUACCCCAGUAGUC